ACUGCAUGCUGAGGUGACAUCCCCUAACCCUACCUACUCAAUUAAAUUUGAGAAAUAUGUUUGGAAAAAUGUACUUCUAAAAUACUUUUAUUUCAUCAUGUUCAUUCACUCUUGAGUUGCUGUAACAUUAAGCAAAUGGUUGAAUUGCCACCUCAGCAUGCAGUUAAGUGUAUAGUCUUUCUAAUUACCUAUUAAUGUUAUUCAGGUGUGCUGCAAGAGGGACACGUGUUAAAUUUACGGGACACCAGCCAUCGAUGACUGGAGUUUGAGACCCCUGAUGUAGGGCAUUGAAGAUUUCAAAAGCUUGUUUCUCUUCAUAAAUUAAAUCCCGGUCUAAAAACUGCUUUUUGUCAUUUGUGAUGAUGACUUGGAAAAUACAAAUGGGAUGAAAACAUAAAACUAACAAAUUUGUUAGAGGUCAGAUAAAAUCAAGGCUGUGUUUUUGGAAAUAAUCCUGCCCACAUUUGCAAAACAUGAACUGUAUGUGAAAGUCAUGUUUGUUAGUAGUUGUUGUUGCUGUUUUUUAAAUAAAUGUGGGAAUCUCCAGCAAAGUCCUUACAUUCAACAGCUCACAUUCAGGACUCAUUUCUGGUUUUUAUUAUUAAAUUAUCUACAAAGAAAUUAUCAUUAUACUGCAUUUUUAUAAUUAGGCCCUAAUAUCAGCUAUCAUAAGUUUGUCAUAGAUUUAAUUCAGUGCUUAUUGCUGUGUAUCAAACAUGCCCCAAAUGUGACUGAAAUAUAUAUAAACUGCUGUGCAAGAACCAUGUGGCACCAAAUUUUUCAUUUUUACCAAAACUCAUACUGAGUAAAAUUCUGUGUACUUUCAAGUUCUUGUCCUACUGAAUUUUAAUUUUCAGACUGUUUGUUUUUAUUGUGUUAAUAGAAUUUGAAUGCAGGCCACCUCAAAUGUUAAAGGCUACAAACAUUACAUACAAGCUAUCAUUUGUGAUUGGUGCCUCCUUUUAAAUUGUCACCAUUUGAUAAAGUGUGCAUUUCUAGGUGUAGCAAAUCAUUGGUUAUGAUAUCUACUCUGGUAUGUAAUCGAACCUAAAUUGUAGAGCAUUACAUGACUAAGAAACUUGUGUGGUUUAUUGCAAAUGGAUCAAACCACAUAUUACCUUCAUGAAGAGGUCGAUCUUUAUUAGGAUGUAGAGAAAAAAAGAAAACAGAGAGGAGCUGUUACAUGUAUUCCAGCUGUGGUAAUCAAAACAAUUUUCCUGAAUAUAUUUGACUAGAGAGUGAUGCAGUAUUGACUCUGAUGCUGAUUUGAGUUGUCUCAUUCUGUAUUUUUGUUCUUUGUCUUUUGCUACAGAGUGAACAGAUCUUUGGUUUUGCCUUUUUUGACUGCUGAUCUGAUCGUCUCAAAUCUGGUGACCUGCUGCAGAAGCUCUCUCCCUCUAUCAUUAACAAGCCAUUCAGUCUGUCCUAUCACUCUACCCACUCUAUCUAUUUUGACAAGCCGUUCUAUCUUGCUUCACUCUAUCCCACAAGCUCUAUCUAAGUUAUCAAAAAUCACGUUUUUUACUGGAAUCCAAUUUUGACUGGAAUCAAGUUUUGACUGGAAUAAUCAAGUUUUGACAUGGCCCCAUUUUUGGGAAAUUGAAGUUACCAGUACUUCAUCUAUCUGUUACAGAAUUCUGACAGGUCUCUGCUCUCACUGCUCCUUCUUUCCUAUCGUUAAACUCUCUCACAUCCAGUCUUUUUGCUGGAAAUUACAAGUAGAAAGUUGAAAUUACAAUAGUAGAAUUACAGUACAGUAGAAACUAUUUACACAGCUGUAGAUUAGUAAUUUUAAUUUUUACUUGGAACACGUUGGAAUAAACACUGAUAGUUUGGCUUAGAGGUGCAAUUACUUUGAUACAUUAUAUAAAAUUUACACCUUCUUUAAGGUUUUUUGUAAUAAGAUAAACUUGUUAUUUUAUACGACAUUCAGACUGCUGUAUUCGCAAAAAUAUUAAAUUAGAUAACUU